CAACGAUUCUGACUUAAGCGUUGAAUUGGACUCUUAAAUGAGUUUUACACCAUAUUGGUCCAGCCCAUAUGAGAUGCUAAUCGGUUCUUUGUUUUCCUUUUUCUUUUUUUACAACUUUCUAGAUUCUUUCACUCUAAUUCUUCUCUCUCCAACUUUACUCUUUUUUCCUCCUUUACUCUUUCCACUUUCGUUGUUUAUGUUUCUUUUUCUCAAUUGAAUUUUCAUCCAUUGUUGCUGGCUUGCUGCUUAAAUUCAAGGCUCGAUUUGCUCAUAAGUUCAUUAAAGUGCUGCCUCCUUGAUUAUCAGUUUUUUUUUUUCGUUUAACUUCAGUAUUUCAUUUAAGUGCAUGUCAAGCUCUGGCUCGACCUUUGCAAAGAAGAGAAAAAAUGCUACUGGUAGUAGAUCAGACCCUGGAUGGGAGCAUGGUUUUCAGGUUGAUAAUGAUACUAAAAAGGUAUGGUGCAAAUAUUGUUCAGUAGUGCGUUCUGAUGGUAUAUUUAGACAUAAGCAUCACCUUGCUGGAACUGGUUGUAAUGUGGAAGCUUGCUUGCAAGUCCCUGAUGAUGUAAAACAAAAAUUUAAGGCAAUAUUACAAUCUAAUGUUGAG